rnacentral:rRNA from 1 species
ACCAAGUCUACGAUCUAUAGCUGGUUUUAGAGGAUGAUCAGCAACACUGGGACUGAGACACGGCCCAGACUCCUACGGGAGGCAGCAGUGGGGAAUCUUAGACAAUGGGCGCAAGCCUGAUCUAGCCAUGCCGCGUGUGUGAUGAAGGUCUUAGGAUCGUAAAGCACUUUCGCCAGGGAUGAUAAUGACAGUACCUGGUAAAGAAACCCC